rnacentral:rRNA from 1 species
GACGAACGCUGGCGGCGUGCCUAAUACAUGCAAGUAGAACGCUGAAGGAGGAGCUUGCUCUUCUGGAUGAGUUGCGAACGGGUGAGUAACGCGUAGGUAACCUGCCUGGUAGCGGGGGAUAACUAUUGGAAACGAUAGCUAAUACCGCAUAACAGUAGAUGUUGCAUGACAUUUACUUAAAAGGUGCAAUUGCAUCACUACCAGAUGGAGCUGCGUUGUAUUAGCUAGUUGGCGGGGUAACGGCUCACCAAGGCGACGAUACAUAGCCGACCUGAGAGGGUGAUCGGCCACACUGGGACUGAGACACGGCCCAGACUCCUACGGGAGGCAGCAGUAGGGAAUCUUCGGCAAUGGACGGAAGUCUGACCGAGCAACGCCGCGUGAGUGAAGAAGGUUUUCGGAUCGUAAAGCUCUGUUGUAAGAGAAGAACGAGUGUGAGAGUGGAAAGUUCGCACUGUGACGGUAUCUUACCAGAAAGGGACGGCUAACUACGUG